AGGACGAACGCUGGCGGCGUGCUUAACACAUGCAAGUCGAGCGGAAAGGCCCUUCGGGGUACUCGAGCGGCGAACGGGUGAGUAACACGUGAGCAACCUGCCCUUGGCUCUGGGAUAGCCUCCGGAAACGGGGAUUAAUACCGGACAUUCACUUCCUUCCGCAUGGUUGGUGGUGGAAAGUUUUUUCGGCCAGGGAGGGGCUCGCGGCCUAUCAGCUUGUUGGCGGGGUAACGGCCCACCAAGGCGACGACGGGUAGCC
rnacentral:rRNA from 1 species